rnacentral:misc_RNA from 1 species
GUUUUUAACCAAACCAAGUAACCCAACCAUCGAUUAUUGUGUAUUAUAAAAGUAUGUUACUUUCCCAACCAUUUUGCCCAGCUUUCAUUCUUUCAAUGGCUCCUACAGCAGCAAUGCUAAUUCUUUCUGCCCGUAUCAAAUCAACUUCUCCACCAUCUCUUCCUCCUCGUUCUACCGCCCCUCUAACCUCUUUCUUUGGGGUUAAGUUCUUUUCAGUGAAAUGGAUCAAACAAGACAGUACCAUCUUCAAUGGAAGCUAUCAAGAGAAAGAGUCAGUAAUGGUAGAUUCUUAUUUGCCUGCAGAUUCUGCCUUGGAAAAGAGGUUUGAAGAAGCCCUUGAACAUAGCUGCUGGUCGUAGAGGUGGUUUAAAAGUUGUACUAUUUCUUUCUUUGUUUUUUCAGAUACUGUUUUAUAAUUUUGUUUGGUGUUGGUUGGCCUAAGACCUAAUUUGUGUAAAUAUAACUUGAUUGUUCAUGAAGUAGAAGUUGUUUCCUAAUUCAUACGUAAUCUUUCACAAAGCCCAUAUGAAAGAAUCUAUGAUGAAAUGAUGCAAGCAAUUGCAUUUUCAGUUUGUGUUAGUUGAUAGUAUACUUUGCCUGAAUCCCAUCUCCUAUCCUAUCCUUAACCCUUUGUUU